AGGACGAACGCUGGCGGCGUGCUUAACACAUGCAAGUCGAGCGGAAAGGCCCUUCGGGGUACUCGAGCGGCGAACGGGUGAGUAACACGUGGGCAACCUGCCCCUCACACUGGGAUAACCUCGGGAAACCGGGGCUAAUACCGGAUACGACCUCGAGCGGCAUCUCUUGAGGUGGAAAGCUCCGACGGUGAGGGAUGGGCCCGCGGCCUAUCAGCUUGUUGGUGGGGUAAUGGCCUACCAAGGCGACGACGGGUA
rnacentral:rRNA from 1 species